ACUGACUUGUCAAAGAAUAAACAGGACUCUUCCUGUUUUGUCGAGGGAUACAGAAACGGUCGCAGGUAACUUAACAGCAGGCCCACAACGAGAAAUGAUGAUUCGAUUCUGUGAAGCCCUGAAAGAGUGCUACUGGAGCUGACGGCACCAAAUACCCUUGCACCUUUGUUGUUCUUAUCCUGCAUCCCAUCUUCAAGUGCCAUCAUAAACUUUAAGAAAGAAGGGACUGCCAAGCUGAUCCAGAAAUUGGAGAUCAAGUUGGACUGAAGACAAAGGCAAGGAGGGUAAGCCACUGACUGAUUCUGCUAUCACUGGCUUGAUUCUGGCUACCAGCUGGUGAGACCCUCCCUCCGAUGAUCACCAUCCACCUACCCUCCCCUGUCACUACUCUGAAGUGUCAUUGUGAAUUGCACUGCGCUAUAUUGUAUAAUUUACUGUAUAUUCUUUAUUAUGUAUUUUUUGUAUUCCACUGUAUAUUUUCUGUGUACAUAUCCGUAUUUAUUAUGGGAGCUAUUGGAUACCCAAAUUUCCUUGAGGAUAAAUAAAUUAUCUAUGAAGGACCUGGAGAUGAGGCUGCCAUGGGUAUGAAGCCACUUAUAGUUCAUGACAGUUGGGCCGUUACGUAGAGCCCCUUGAAGAUUGUGGUAACAUUGUGGGUUGGGUUGGCGUGGACCAGUAUCUUGUGAACACUAUAACCAUCACCACCUAUGAGCAAGCUCACAACAUGAGAGUGAUGAAGUUCAGUGUGAGCCCUGUAGUGAGAGUUGCUGUGGAAGCCAAAAACCCUGCUGACCUGCCCAAGCUGGUGGAAGGUCUGAAGCGUCUGUCCAAGUCCGAUCCUAUGGUGCAGUGUAUCAUUGAGGAGUCUGGGAAACGUAUCAUUGCUGGAGUUGUAAAAGCUUUGACCCACUUGCCUCCUGCCUAGUAUCAGUUUCCAACAAAUUUGAGUUCUACGUUGUGGGACCGGACUGUACAGAACAUCUGAGUACAGUUUGCCAAAAGGAAUGAUAACUAAUAAACAACCACAAACAUUGUAACAAUAAAAGAAAAUAAAAACUGUAAAUGUGAA